rnacentral:rRNA from 1 species
GACGAACGCUGGCGGCGUGCUUAACACAUGCAAGUCGAACGGAAAGGCCCUGCUUUUGUGGGGUGCUCGAGUGGCGAACGGGUGAGUAACACGUGCGUAACCUGCCCUUGACUUUGGGAUAACUUCAGGAAACUGGGGCUAAUACCGGAUAGGCGCUCCUGCUGCAUGGUGGGGGUUGGAAAGCUUCGGCGGUUGGGGAUGGACUCGCGGCUUAUCAGCUUGUUGGUGGGGUAGUGGCUUACCAAGGCUUUGACGGGUAGCCGGCCUGAGAGGGUGACCGGCCACAUUGGGACUGAGAUACGGCCCAGACUCCUACGGGAGGCAGCAGUGGGGAAUAUUGCACAAUGGGCGGAAGCCUGAUGCAGCAACGCCGCGUGCGGGAUGACGGCCUUCGGGUUGUAAACCGCUUUCGCCUGUGACGAAGCGUGAGUGACGGUAAUGGGUAAAGAAGCACCGGCUAACUACGUG